UACGGAGGGGGCGAGCGUUGUCCGAAGUUACUGGGCGUAAAAGGGCGCGUAGGCGGGAAGCUAAGUCCGCUGUCAAAGCCCGGGGCUUAACCCCGGAAGGUCGGUGGAGACUGGUUUUCUUGAAGCUGCCAGGGGGAGAUGGAAUUACCGGUGUAGCGGUGAAAUGCGUAGGAUAUCGGUAGGAACACCAGUGGCGAAAGGCGGUCUCCUGGAGCGAGACUUGCGCUGAGGCGCGAAAGCUGGGGGAGCGAACGGG
rnacentral:rRNA from 1 species